UCAGGUCGGGUCAGUGGUGACAUCACCGUCAGCACGCGCCUCUGGAAAUUUCUAGAAAGCGCAACUGCAGCGGUGAACGGUUGAAAAUGGCGAAUAAAGUGGGGGCUGAAAGUGAAGAGGAAUUGGGCACAGGAGAUGCACAGAUUGCUUCAGAAAGUGACCCCCAGUCAGAGACAACUUUAGAUGUGGAGCCAACACAGCAUGCAUUGGAAGAUAAAUCACACUUUAAAAUUAAAAGCCUCUUCAGAGCUUGUGGAAAGAAACAUGAACAGGUGCAAGAAUUCUAUUCAAAGCACAAAAAAAUUAUUCAUCGUGUAAUUCGGAUCGUCUUCCUGACAGGGUACUUUUGCAUGGUGAUCGCAGCAUGUAUUUUGAAUUUUCAAAGAGCCCUGGGACUCCUUAUUUUAACAUUGAUUGCCAUUUUCUUUUACUUUUGGGAUACACUUAUUACGAAGUAUGGAGAUACAAUUGCUGAGUUUAUUUCUUCACAUAGCAAGUUCAUAAAACAAAAGUGGAUUCUAUUCAAAAUAUUGCUGUAUAUGGUUCUACUUGUAGUAAUUAUACUUUGGCUUAUUCUGGACACAGCCAGUCAAAGCACAAACCAGCUAAUUUCCGUUAUUGGACUUCUGUUAUUCAUUUUGUUCUUGUUCAUCUUCUCCAAACGUCCAAAAAAGGUAAGAUGGAGAACUGUUUUCUGGGGCGUAGGCUUGCAGUUUGUUUUUGGACUCCUUAUUUUGAGAACAAGAGCAGGAUUCCAUGCUUUUGAGUGGAUGGGACAUCAAGUGCAGAUUUUCUUAAACUAUGCAGACGCUGGUUCAAAAUUUUUAUUUGGUGCAACAUACACGGACCACUUUUUUGCAUUUAAGGUUUUACCAAUAGUGAUUUUCUUCAGCACAACAAUUUCCAUAUUGUAUUUUCUUGGAUUUGUACAAUGGCUCAUUUUGAAGAUUGGCUGGAUAAUGCAAAUUUCCAUGGAUACAUCUCCCACAGAGUCAUUGGUGGCAGCAGGCAACAUAUUUGUGGGACAGGCUGAAUCUCCACUGCUAAUUCGUCCAUAUAUAUCGGAUCUCACAAAGUCUGAAAUUCAUUCUGUAAUGACUAGUGGAUUUGCUACCAUUGCAGGAUCUGUCCUGGGGGCAUAUGUUUCAUUUGGGAUUCCAGCUGCCCAUUUGUUAACAGCUUCUGUGAUGUCUGCUCCUGCAGCUCUGGCUGUAGCCAAACUGUUUUGGCCUGAAGAAGAAGUUCCAAAGAUAACAACCAAAACUAACCUCAAGUUGGAUAAAGGUGAAGCAAAAAACAUAAUAGAAGCAGCCUGUUUAGGAGCCUUUGCAUCAAUUGGUUUGGUGGCAAACAUUGCUGUUAACCUUAUUGCAUUUCUGGCACUCCUGGCUUUUCUUAAUGCUGUGCUGUCCUGGUUGGGAAACAUGUUUGAUGAGCCUCGGCUCAGUUUUGAGCUAAUUUGUUCCUAUGUCUUCAUGCCACUUGCCUUCAUAAUGGGAAUAGACUGGAAUGACAGCUUUAUGGUUGGCGAGCUCCUCGGAGUGAAAACUUUCUUCAAUGAAUUUGUAGCUUACGAAAAGUUAUCUAGCCUGAUUGCCAAAAGAAUUGAAGGCAACCUUGAGUAUGUUGAUGGUUUGAAGCAGUAUUUAUCAGCCCGUUCCGAAGCUAUUGCUACAUAUGCCCUCUGUGGAUUUGCUAAUUUUGGUUCUGUUGGCGUUGUUAUCGGAGGACUGUUAAAGGGAGAGUGACGGCGCUUGACAUCAAGAAAACAUUUUACUGAAUGUGGCAUCAAGGAGGAGCCCUUGCCAACCUAUGUCAUUGAAGCUCAGGGAAAACCUCCCUCUGUGGCCAAAGUCAUACCUAACAAAUGAAGAUGACUGUGUUUGUUGGAUGCUCAACAUCUUAGCCCAUGGACAUUGCUACAGGAGUUCUUUAGUUCUGGGCCAGCUUUCUUCUGCUUGAAUCAUUAAUAAUCUUACCUCUGUUAUAAGCAUCUUUGGCUCCAGAAAGACUGCAUGACAUAGCAAGCGUCAGUAUUCGGGCUCUCAUCGCUGGUACUGUUGCCAGCUUCAUGACCGCCUGCAUUGCAG